rnacentral:rRNA from 1 species
CGGCGUCACGAGUGGCAAUCACAUUUAUUGGGUCUAAAGCGUUCGUAGCCUGUUUAGUAAAUCUUUUGUGAAAUUGUCGGGCUUAACUCGACAGCGUGCAGAAGACACUACUAGACUUGAGACCGGGAGGGGUUAGAAGUAUUUCAGGGGGAGCGGUAAAAUGUUAUAAUCCCUGAAGGACUACCAAUCGCGAAGGCAUCUAACCAGAACGGAUCUGACGGUGAGGAACGAAGGCCAGGGGAGCGAACCGGAUUAGAUACCCGAGUAGUCC